rnacentral:rRNA from 1 species
UACGGAAGGUCCGGGCGUUAUCCGGAUUUAUUGGGUUUAAAGGGAGCGCAGGCGGGGAGCUAAGCGUGACGUGAAAUGUAGCCGCUCAACGGCUGCACUGCGUCGCGAACUGGUUUUCUUGAGUGAGUGCGACGUCAGCGGAAUUCGUGGUGUAGCGGUGAAAUGCUUAGAUAUCACGAAGAACCCCGAUUGCGAAGGCAGCUGACGAGCCCUUUACUGACGCUAAAGCUCGAAGGUGCGGGUAU